rnacentral:rRNA from 1 species
AACGAACGCUGGCGGCAUGCCUAACACAUGCAAGUCGAACGAGACCUUCGGGUCUAGUGGCGCACGGGUGCGUAACGCGUGGGAAUCUGCCCUUGGGUUCGGAAUAACUUCGGGUAAACUGAAGCUAAUACCGGAUGAUGACGUAAGUCCAAAGAUUUAUCGCCCAAGGAUGAGCCCGCGUAGGAUUAGCUAGUUGGUGAGGUAAAGGCUCACCAAGGCGACGAUCCUUAGCUGGUCUGAGAGGAUGAUCAGCCACACUGGGACUGAGACACGGCCCAGACUCCUACGGGAGGCAGCAGUGGGGAAUUUUGGACAAUGGGCGCAAGCCUGAUCCAGCAAUGCCGCGUGCAGGAUGAAGGCCU